rnacentral:tRNA from 1 species
CGUAAGAAAGCAAAUAGUAUGCAUUCAAUUUCGACUUGAAAAUCUGAUAAUAAUCUCUUACAA